rnacentral:rRNA from 1 species
UACGGGGGGUGCGAGCGUUGUCCGGAAUCACUGGGCGUAAAGGGCGCGUAGGUGGUCUUAUAAGGGUGUGGUGAAAGCCCGGGGCUCAACCCCGGAACUGCCUUUGAAACUAGAUUGCUAGAAUCCUGGAGAGGUGAGUGGAAUUCCGAGUGUAGAGGUGAAAUUCGUAGAUAUUCGGAAGAACACCAGUGGCGAAGGCGACUCACUGGACAGGUAUUGACGCUGAGGUGCGAAAGCGUGGGGAGCAAACAGGG